ACAAGGUUUCCGUAGGUGAACCUGCGGAAGGAUCAUUAUCAAAACAGCGGACUUCGGUCCUUGCUGCACCCUUGUCUUUUGCGUACCGUAUGUUUCCUCGGCGGGCUUGCCUGCCGGUUGGACAUUAUCAAACCUUUUUGUAGUUGCAAUCAGCGUCAGAAAAUAAACAAUAAUUACAACUUUCAACAACGGAUCUCUUGGUUCUGGCAUCGAUGAAGAACGCAGCGAAAUGCGAAAAGUAGUGUGAAUUGCAGAAUUCAGUGAAUCAUCGAAUCUUUGAACGCACAUUGCGCCCCUUGGUAUUCCAUGGGGCAUGCCUGUUCGAGCGUCAUUUUGUACCCUCAAGCACUGCUUGGUGUUGGGCGUUUGUCCUGCAAAGGACUCGCCUGAAAGCGAUUGGCGGCCAACGUACUGGUGGUAGAGCGCAGCACAAUUUGCGUCUCUCCCUUCUACGUCGGCGUCCAUGAAGCCUUUUUUCAACGUUUGACCUCGGAUCAGGUAGGGAUACCCGCUGAACUUAAGCAU
rnacentral:rRNA from 1 species